ACAUACGACCACAGAACUCUGAAAGCAAGGCUUCCCGUUCGCUCAGCAAUAUUUAAGCAAAGUGUCGAUUUGUCAGUAGCUACGUGGGUGACCAAUAGCGAAUACAAAUUGUUGUAUGUU
rnacentral:rRNA from 1 species